rnacentral:SRP_RNA from 1 species
CACGUCGAGGGCGUGCCCCAUGCAAGGCCGCAGUCCGCAGAGGCGUCUCCGCGAAGGCGGAGGCGUCUCGGUGGUUAGAGAGUCGGGCACCGCCGAAGGCUGGCAACAGAGCACGGAAAACUGGCCGCUGUGGUACAGUGCAGGGAAAACAUGCUU